UCGAUCUCAAGCUUCUCAUACUCAGUCGAUCAAAUCAGACAAUUAAGCUUCGAUCCAGUCCAGAUAACUUUUGUUCAUGCCCUUCGAGAAAUCAAAGAUGCAUCCAGGCAAAAAGACAUGGAUCAUGAUCAACGUGCUUCAACAAACAGCUUUUACUCCUCAUUUUACAUGAUUGAUGAGCUGCUUCUGGUACGUAUUGUCGUUUGUCAUGGAAUUAACUUCUGUGGAGGCACUUGACUGGUAAGUUUCCGUCACACAAUAAGAGCUAGCACUGCUUAAUUCCCGAUCGAUCCUAAAUUACCAUAUGCAACGUCUAUUCAUGAAUUAUUCGAAAGCUUUCUGUAGUUUGUAUUGGAGUGUAAAACCAAACUACAUUCGACAGCUUUGGAAUGUUGAGCAACAAGUACGUGGAUCUAUGAGUAGCUAGCAUAGCAACACCACCUCAUGGAAAAGCUGUGAUACAUCAAACCAUUAAUUGACUAUUAGUGGAAAUAAAAUCAUUGGACUUUAGGGUUAAUUAGGGUUCGAGUUAGAUCAAUGUCGUGAGUGAUCAAUUCAAUGACUCCACAAAUGAGCUGCAAGUAUAGUGAGGCAGAUCAUGAUGGGAAAGCUCAGACCACUCGAGUUUGGGUGCAUGGACCAUUGGACCCAUUGACACAUGCCGUUAAGAGUAGCGCACAUGCCACUUAAGUUCGAAAUAAUAUCCAAGGUUGAAGCGAAAGAGCUCCAUGUUAAAAAUGUAGUUGUUGAGGGUGACGUGACUCCUCUCUCGUCUUAAUUGUGCCGACAAAAAGUUUUAGU